rnacentral:rRNA from 1 species
UACGGGGGGGGCAAGCGUUGUUCGGAAUUACUGGGCGUAAAGGGCUCGUAGGUGGCCAACUCAGUCAGACGUGAAAUCCCUCGGCUUAACCGGGGAACUGCGUCUGAUACUGGAUGGCUAGAGAUUGGGAGAGGGAUGCGGAAUUCCAGGUGUAGCGGUGAAAUGCGUAGAUAUCUGGAGGAACACCGGUGGCGAAGGCGGCAUCCUGGACCAACACUGACGCUGAGGAGCGAAAGCCAGGGGAGCAAACGGG